rnacentral:rRNA from 1 species
AACGAACGCUGGCGGCAUGCCUAACACAUGCAAGUCGAACGAGACCUUCGGGUCUAGUGGCGCACGGGUGCGUCACGCGUGGGAACCUGCCCUUAGGUUCGGAAUAACUCCCCGCAAGGGGUGCUAAUACCGGAUAAUGUCUUCGGACCAAAGAUUUAUCGCCUUUGGAUGGGCCCGCGUUGGAUUAGCUAGUUGGUAGGGUAAAAGCCUACCAAGGCGACGAUCCAUAGCUGGUCUGAGAGGAUGAUCAGCCACACUGGGACUGUGACACGGCCCAGACUCCUACGGGAGGCAGCAGUGGGGAAUAUUGGACAAUGGGCGAAAGCCUGAUCCAGCAAUGCCGCGUGAGUGAUGAAGGCCUUAGGGUUGUAAAGCUCUUUUACCCGGGAUGAUAAUGACAGUACCGGGAGAAUAAGCGCCGGCUAACUCCGUG